UACAGAGGUCCCGAGCGUUGUUCGGAUUUAUUGGGCGUAAAGGGUGCGUAGGCGGCGGAGUAAGUUGGGUGUGAAAUCCCGGGGCUUAACCUCGGAAUUGCAUUCAAUACUGCUUCGCUAGAGUACUGGAGAGGAGGCUGGAAUUUACGGUGUAGCAGUGAAAUGCGUAGAUAUCGUAAGGAAGGCCGGUGGCGAAAGCGAGCCUCUGGACAGUUACUGACGCUCAUGCACGAAAGCGUGGGGAGCAAACAGG
rnacentral:rRNA from 1 species